rnacentral:lncRNA from 1 species
UGGCGCUGCGGUCCGGCUCGCCGGAGCCGCCCGCGCGGGCGCCGAGAGGAGAGGCGAGGCGCGGCGAGGCGGGGAGCGCGAGCGGCGGCGGCCCCUGCCACGUCUGGCCGGCAGCGGCGGCGGGAGGAGGUGAGCGGCGCCGGCGCCGCGGGCAGGUGGGCAGGCAGCGGCCGGGCGGGCGCGCGGGGCCCCUGCUGCGGGCCCCGGGCCGGGGAGGUGGCGCCGGGACAGCGCGGUUCCCGCCACGCCGGCUCCGCCUCCGCGCGGGCUGACGGCCGAGGCCCGGGCGCCGAGCGGGUCCCGAGCGCAACUCGUGCGGCGGGCGCCGGGGGGACGCGAGCCGGGCCGCCCGUCGCGGCGCCGGACGCCGAUUGCCCGCCGCUGCGGGGCCCCGGCCGCGGCCGGGAAAAGUUGGGGCGGACCGCGAGCCCGCGUGGGCCGGGCGGGAAGUGCGCGUGCCGGGCGGACUCCGGGGGCCGGAGGGACGCGAGGCUGGAUACUGUAACAGAACACUUGGAUUUUGGUGUAACCUGCCAGCAUGUUUCUGAACCUCUCCCCCGAGGAAGCGAGCGGGUGAAUAACUCAAGUCACCUUUACUGGAAGUCACUUUGCUGAAACUAUUGAAAGAGCCAUUCUUGAAGUUGAAGAAAAGGAGAUUCUGCGCCUUGACCAGAGGAGUGUGGCCCUUCCUUCAAAAUCCUCUGUGGACACGCCCUCCUAGCGUCCCUGGGGAAAGAUGCGGCAGCUCAAGGGGAAGCCCAAGAAGGAGACGUCCAAGGACAAGAAGGAGCGGAAGCAGGCCAUGCAGGAGGCCCGGCAGCAGAUCACCACGGUGGUGCUGCCCACGCUGGCCGUCGUCGUGCUCCUGAUCGUGGUGUUCGUGUACGUGGCCACGCGCCCCACCGUCACCGAGUGAGCCCUGUGGCUGGGUGGACUCCCCCAGCAGGGAGCGGAGGUGCGGGAGGGGGCAAGCAAGAGAGAAAUGGCUUUCCUAUUCGGAGAUGUGCCUGAUGCUGAGCUCUGAGCAGAGCACCCUGUCUUCUCUGAUCUCUGACUUGAUUAAAGUUUCUCCACUUUUCUUGGGAGGGAAUAGGGAACGUUUUAUCAGUGAACAUGCCAUACACUUUAUGGUCCACUUCAUGUGCCUUUCAGACUUCAAAGCAGUGUGUGUGUUUCUUUUUUUCUUCUGAAAUCGAUGUGUAGCUCCACCUGGUGAGAGGAGGCAUCUCUGGGUCCUGAAUCGGUUGGAAUCAGCGCUCACCCCAUUCCCAUUGUUUUGAACAUGACUCUUGCCUACAUGUGUUCACAAUUUCCAAAGGGACUGUGUUUCUUCUCUGUGCUUAAUGUGAUUUGAAAUAUGUCAACUCAAAAGUGAAAUAUUUAUUUUUUGAAUAAAGGAGAUAAUAGCCUUAAACUGGAUGUUUAUCUUGCUUUGCCAGGAGGCGGCCUUGUUUUCUGUGGAGGCACAGGAAGGCGCUGUCUGUGGGGCUCCCUCUCUGGCAGUGUCCCUCUUCCCUCCACUCCUCUCCCCUGAGGCUUUCUCCACCUUCCCCCUUGACUCCCUGCUGUGAAUCACUUCCAGUAAAAUUGUGCUUUUUGACUGGAUCAUCC